rnacentral:lncRNA from 1 species
UCCUUUCAAAACAAUAUCACUUUACUCUAAGGAAAUGUCUGUUUCUAUUCCUGUAGGUUUUAAUCAUCAGGACGACACGUCGUAAACAACAUCUCUAAAAAUGAACACAGGAGAGAACACUGUUCAGAUGAGUUGCUGUGAAACUUGGGUACAUGCUUAAAGAGAUAUGACAGCUUGAUAUGGAGCGCGGUGGGGAUAAACGAUCUGUGUCAGGCCUGCUGGGGUCCAUAUGGUCCAUAUGGUCCAUCACCAAGGUUCUCACUCUACAUCACACCCGUGAGCUAUAGAUGAACACAGGCUGUCUGUUUACCAGUCAUCCUUCAGAACAACUUAUGAGGGCCAGCGGAACAGGCUUGAGAGAGGAACGGCCGGUGGGCUUGAGAAUGCCGUGGCUGGCAGGCUUGACUUUGGAACGGCC